rnacentral:rRNA from 1 species
AACGUAGGAGGCGAGCGUUAUCCGGAUUUACUGGGUGUAAAGCGCGUGUAGGCGGUCCUGCAAGUGGCGCGUGAAAGCGCCCGGCUCAACCGGGCGAGGACGUGACCGAACUGCGGGGCUAGAGGCAGGUAGAGGCGUGUGGAAUUCCGGGUGUAGUGGUGAAAUGCGUAGAGAUCCGGAGGAACACCAGUGGCGAAGGCGACACGCUGGGCCUGACCUGACGCUGAGAGGCGAAAGCAUGGGGAGCAAACAGGAUUAGAUACCCCUGUAGU